AUUACUUAAUAAGCAAUAUCAAACUAUCAUAAAUUAAUACACUAAAAAGAACAUAAGCAGAGCUACUCUCUCCUCAUGGUAGUGACUGAACAUACGCAGAGCUACUCUAUUCUCAUGGUAGUGACUACUUGGCCGUCUUGUCUUUGUUUGGGAUCGGAUCUUUUCUAUCUUUGAUAUGCUUACUCAUGGCGACAAUUUGGACCCGGGUUAGGCUUAGGCCUCUCAGCCAAUACUUGCUUCUUAUCUUUUCAAUAAUGGGGCGCCUCUUGCUCCAAAGGAAGUAACUUCCACGAAGUCAAGGAAGUCGAUCAUCAAGAUAAUUGGACCGAUGUACGUGGAAGAAGAUUGGAGGCUAAACGAUGAAGAUGAUUGCAACACAGUCUAUCGUGGUGGAGGUGAUGUUUGUGCAUGAUGAUUUCUUGUCCUAUUUAGUCUCAUAUUUCCAACUAGCUUGGAAAAUUAAAAGUCCCGUUAGUUUUCCUACAGUUUCGUUUGGUUGCUCAGAAUGGAAAGAUGGGAAAAUUUGAAAUG